GGGACAAAGACAAUUGCAACUAAACAUCAGCCUAGCCUGAAAUCUGAAGAAUUGUGUACACGUUCAGUGAAGAGGACAAGAAGAUGAACAUGCAUGCAGCAAAGGAGAAUCUCCGGUAGUGGAUGGAAGACAAAGAGAAGCUCCGGUGGUCGAUCGAAGAAGAAUAGAAGCUCCGGUGGUGGAUCAAAGAGAAACAACCUAAAAAAAUUAGUUAGAUCCAAAAAUUUAUUAUAAACACAAAAUAUGUACUCUUUCAAUACCUGUGACAUGCAUAUAGGAAGAAGAGUCUGGAAGCACUGUUGCUGAAGAACCCAUCGUCGGAGCUCCAUCAGUUUCUUCCGUGAAAAGUGAGCUCGCAAAGUUCUCAAAGAAUCGAAGACACAUGGGAGACCGAAAGAAUCAUCGAACACCAAACCGCCGCCACCGG
rnacentral:lncRNA from 1 species